rnacentral:rRNA from 1 species
GACGAACGCUGGCGGCGUGCUUAACACAUGCAAGUCGAACGGAAAGGCCCUGCUUGCAGGGUGCUCGCGUGGCGAACGGGUGAGUAACACGUGGGUGAUCUGCCCCUUACUUUGGGAUAAGCCUGGGAAACUGGGUCUAAUACUGGAUAGGACCAUGCUGUAGCUGGUGUGGUGGCAAGAUCCGUUUCGGUACGGGAUGAGCUCGCGGCCUAUCAGCUUGUUGGUGGGGUAAUGGCCUACCAAGGCGUCGACGGGUAGCCGGCCUGAGAGGGUGGACGGCCACAUUGGGACUGCGAGACGACCCAGAAUCCUACGGGAUGCAGCAGUGGGGAAGAGUGCACAAUAGGCGCAAGCCUGAUGCAGCGACGCUGCGUGGGGGAUGACGGCCUUCGGGUUGUAAACUCCUUUCAGCCAUGACGAAGCCCUUGUGGUGACGGUAGUGGUAGAAGAAGCACCGGCUAACUACGUG